CUCCAACUCCUAGCCUCAAGCGAUUCUCCAGCAUUGGCCUCCCAAAUUUCUGGGAUUGCAGGUGCUGUCUCUCAGCUCUCCAAGGAUUUCUGAAGCCAUCAAGUAGGAUGUCACUGUGUUAUCUGAAACAACGUGGCUCUGGGAUGAAGCAGCAUCCUGUUUGUUUUCGCUGCAGCAAAAGAGAAACCUCUCCCCCGGGGCAGAACUGCUGGGCCACCAGAGAGCACCCCUCUGCUCUUUGCCCUCAGGGAAUCUUGAUCUGCAGGGUGGGAGGAACUGCCCCAACUCUCCCAAAAAGGAACUCUUUAUGGACCCCUCAUCCGCCAUGAUGUCACUGCCUCUUUUGUCCUCUCUCUAGACCAUGGCUGUGGAUCCCAGGCUGUGUGCCAAGGAACUCAGCACAAACUCACUGUGAGAAAACACUCUGGGGUUACUGAAAUAUUUGAAGGAUGAGCAGUCACAUCUGCGGGACACCUCAGGAAGUGCUAGUGCAAGGGCUAUCUUGAAAAUGUUACGGAGGCACCUUCUGGAUUUUCCCUGGACCACUCCAGGCCAUUUCUCAGGCUCUGCCUCCUGCGGGAAAGCUCACCUCCGUGAAGCCAGGACUCACAUGUCACCUUCUUGGGAGACCUUUUUGUUCUGGCUACUGAGGACCUGGGGCCUCCCCCUCUCUCUCUUCCUUCCCACAUCCUUGUUCUCCACCCCCUAAGUCAUCUGUCGCUUUCCUACAUUCUGGAAUACACCUGCUCAUUAUGUUCACCUGCUGUCCCCACUGGAGCAGGGAUUUUGUCUGUUUUCCUCAGGGAAGCAUUCAUGGCACAGCCCCAUUAUCAGUGCUGAGGCUGUACCUACCCUGUGAGUGAAUAAAUGAAAGGACAGUCAUUGGGGUAGGGGCCUCUUUGUUGCCCAUUUGUUCGCUACACUUUAGAUGGUAACUUAGGACAUGGUGGAACCGGUGUUUUCUGGGCACAAUAAACCAGAAUAUAUUGUGAAGGCAAGAAGUAGAAAUAAAUCUUAGGAGGAAGAAUAUGAAUUUUCAUCAAGGAGUUGAAAAGAGUGAGAAAAAAAAAAUCAGGAAAGGGGCAAGUUUGUCUUGGUUGUAGAUAACCUGGUGGAGAAACACAGCUGUCUGCGAUAGAGAUUGGGCUCUGUUAGUUUCCUCUGCACUGUGAGACCACCUCCACCACCUGCCCUGCGUCCUCCUCUAUCCUGAGGCUGAAUGCAGCUCUUGUCCCUUGAGUGCUAAGGAAGCCACAAUCCCAGGCCAGAGGAAGGACUGAGGUGGACAGUGAAAAAGGAGGUGGUGGAUGCAGAAGGGGAAGCCUGAGGAUAAGCAAAAAAUGUCACUUGAAAAUGGGACAAAAAGGAAGGGUAUAAAGAACAAGGUGGAAAUCAUCUGAUAUUCCAUCACACAAGUGUUUAA